rnacentral:rRNA from 1 species
CGAUGGAGGGGGAUAACUACUGGAAACGGUAGCUAAUACCGCAUAACGUCGCAGACCAAAGAGGGGGACCUUCGGGCCUCUUGCCAUCGGAUGUGCCCAGAUGGGAUUAGCUAGUAGGUGGGGUAACGGCUCACCUAGGCGACGAUCCCUAGCUGGUCUGAGAGGAUGACCAGCCACACUGGAACUGAGACACGGUCCAG